rnacentral:misc_RNA from 1 species
AAAAAAAUAUAUAAAUAUAAAGAUUAUCAUCAUCUUCAAGUUAACUUAAGAUCAGGAAGUGAAGCAGCAUAGACAGAUUUGAUAGUAAGAUCUUAUCCAUUGCUAGUGUUUGAUAUUUUUCAACAGAACUAGUAUCAUUCUGAAGUCGUAGCUGCUAAUCCUAUCCUCUAAUUAUUAUAAUAUCUCCAAAACUCCAUCCUUAAACAAUUGAACUAUUAGUAAAAGACAAAACUGUACUUAAUUAAAAAGCUUGAUAAAAUCUUGGCUGAUCAAAACAAUAAUAAUAAUUAAAAGUUUGAAAGAGAAAAAUGAAGAGAUGGCAGCAACUUUGUAUCCACACAGGGCACAAGAGGAACAUAUAAUAUAAAACAUAUAUAUCUUAUACCUUGAGUAGAUCUUUAUUAGGAUAGCCAAAAGCAAAGAGACUUCUUUUCUGCCAUGCUGAAUGGGUGAUGCGUGUGUGUGUGUGAUCUUGGCAACCCUUUAAAUAAAUUUAAAUGAAAAAGGAAGACAAGAAACAGUGCAGGUUUAAGGUAUUAGAUGUGAAUGAGUGGAAAUAAGACUAUUGAUCACGAAUGAAAAUGAAGACCAAAGCCAUUGGGCACUUGGAUUUGAG